GGGUUGUGAGGUUAAGCGACUAAGCGUACACGGUGGAUGCCCUGGCAGUCAGAGGCGAUGAAGGGCGUGCUAAUCUGCGAUAAGCGCCGGUAAGGUGAUAUGAACCGUUAUAACCGGCGAUACCCGAAUGGGGAAACCCAGUGUGACUCGUCACACUAUCAUUAACUGAAUCCAUAGGUUAAUGAGGCGAACCGGGGGAACUGAAACAUCUAAGUACCCCGAGGAAAAGAAAUCAACCGAGAUUCCCCCAGUAGCGGCGAGCGAACGGGGAGGAGCCCAGAGCCUGAAUCAGCAUGUGUGUUAGUGGAAGCGUCUGGAAAGGCGCGCGAUACAGGGUGACAGCCCCGUACACAAAAGCGCAUGUGCUGUGAGC
rnacentral:rRNA from 1 species